CAAAACAUUCACAUAACUGAUACUGCAGUCUCAGCUCCGCUGGACAAAAGGUCCCCAGCUUUUUAUUCUCUUUUGACAAGAACCCAAUUAUAGAUAGCCCUACAAAAUACCAGGGGCUAUUGACAACUUCUCACCAAAUCACGUAAUGCUAGACUGCUUAACAAGACAUACAUAUGAGAAACAUGGGAAAUCAAGUAAGGCUUUCCACUUAGGAUAUUUAUAUACAGUUCUAACCAGGGUAGGGGAUCAACCUAUAGAACUAGAAUAUCCCAAUAUGCAGUCGGUCAAGGGCAAGAAUGAGCACAUCAAUGGCUUCCUCUGAUGAGUAGAACGAACCCCACAAAGGGAUACCCUGGCAAAAUCUGUGGUCCUAUAUAUGAUUAUAAUGAUGGUAUCUUUCUUCCUUUCUUUCUUCCGCACAUUCCGAGCUAUCUUUGACUAAGAUCAGGACUGCCUUCAACCGAGCAAGUAUUUAAUUACAUGAAUUAUCUGGCAUCAUUGACAUCAACUUUCAUUUUCCUUCUAGGUUUCCCGAAGAAAACCUUACCCGCUGCUGAAAUUCUUCACACCCGACCAUCUGUUUUAGUAAAAAGAGACAGCCACCAGCAUACAGGAACUGCAUGCUCCAAAAUUUCAUGGGACUAAGCAUUCCAC
rnacentral:misc_RNA from 1 species